rnacentral:rRNA from 1 species
UGCAGCCAUGCCGCGUGUAUGAAGAAGGACCUUCGGGUUGUAAAGUACUUUCAGCAGUGAGGAAGGUGGAUAUGUUAAUAGCAUAUUCAUUUGACGUUAGCUGCAGAAGAAGCACCGGCUAACUCCGUGCCAGCAGCCGCGGUAAUACGGAGGGUGCGAGCGUUAAUCGGAAUUACUGGGCGUAAAGCGCAUGCAGGUGGUUUGUUAAGUCAGAUGUGAAAGCCCGGGGCUCAACCUCGGAAUUGCAUUUGAAACUGGCAAACUAGAGUACUGUAGAGGGGGUAGAAUUUCAGGUGUAGCGGUGAAAUGCGUAGAGAUCUGAAGGAAUACCGGUGGCGAAGGCGGCCCCCUGGACAGAUACUGACACUCAGAUGCGAAAGCGUGGGGAGCAAACAGGAUUAGAUACCCUGGUAG